GAGAAAAAGAAAGAAAGGAAAGACUUAGGCUUUUUUAAUAUCAAUGUAUUCUGACAAUAUUUCGCAAUCCUGCUCCUACAUAUCUCUAAGUGUUAUGAAGAAUUCAAGGCAUACGUAGUUCUGCUAAAAGAGAACUAUUGGAUUGAUUGCUUUUAAGGAGUGAUCCUUUAGACAUAUUGAGUGAUUAAACCUUAAGUUGCUGCUCGCUUUUGGAGGCUGAAGUCUUUGUUUGUUUCACAUCAAUAUGGAUAAAGAAUACUCGUUUCUGAAACAGUUUUCGGUGUUGUGCAAGGGCGAAAAACAAGUUUGAUUGGUUGAGUGUUUUGUUGGAUGACGAUUACUCGAAUGACCGAGUAAGGCUACACAUAUCCAAGUACUCGAUAAGAGGAAUAGAAGGAUCUAGAUCAUCUCUAUUUUCAUCCUUAAUUGCAAAAGGAUUUAAAUAAGGUUAAGGUAUUUUGAAUGAACGACAAAUACUCGAAUGACCAAGUAAGACUACUUGUAUCCAAGUACCCAGGAAAGGGAAUGGAAGGCUCCAUACCACCUCCUUUUUCAUCCAAGUUUAUUAUGAAAAUGAGUUUGACUUAAGGUUUGAUUAUGAAAAGAGUUUGGAUGUGGAAGGGACGAUGCUUGACAUAGUAAUCAGUUUGAAUUUAAUUUGGGAAAAGUGCUCGACAUUGAAUCGAGUAUUUUUUUUGUUCUUUUCUAAAAGUUGAUGAUUUUAAUCUUUGAGUUAACAUUCAACUAACAUAAUAAAAACAACCGGAAGCGGUAAACUUAUUACACAUUAUAGAAAUGGGGUACAAUUUGUCAAACGAGUAUAUAAUAAAGAGAAUAAAAAAUACUUGAGGUCUAUCCAAUAAUCAAAUGAAGUACCAUAUAAUUAAUUAAUUAAAAUCAAUAAAUUAGUUAAACAAAUUAAAAUGAAUCAAGUAAAGAAUUCAAGUGAAAAUUAAUCAAUUAAAGUAAAACCAAUCACAUAAUUUUAUUAAUCAAAAUGAAUGAAUUAACAAGAUAAAAUCAAAACAAAUGCAUAGAAUUAUUUUUAAACUUAAAUUAAUUGCCAAUUAAAAUAUUACAUGUGGAAUUUUAUAUUAAAUUAUAUAAUAAUAGAAACUUGAUAUAAUAAAAAUGAAGUAGAAAGGAUUACAUUAUAUAUUAAAUUAAAUGAAACUAAUAGCAUAUAAAAAAGAGAAAGAAACAUAAAACAUAGAAACUUGAUAUAAUAAGAAUUAAGUAGCAAAGACUAUAUUAUAUAUUAAAUUAAAUGAAACUAAAAGCAUAUAGAAAAGAGAAAGAAACAUGAAGCAUAACAUGUAACAUGAAGUAAGUGGCAAAGUAAAAUGAUGCAAUGUGUUUCUCAUGAGAUUUUUUAAUUUUGAAAAGUCAAUACCACUUAAAAAUUGAUAUGUGACAAUUAUAAAAUAAAAUUAAAAAACUGAAGCAUAAUAUAAGAACAAGAGGGAGUAACGAAAUGAAGCAGUAACAUGAAACAUGAAAACGUACUGAAACGAAAAAAAACUCACAACCGCAUAAGCACGGCUUCUCCAAACGUGAUUAUGCAAACGCGAUUCUCAUGCAAUAACAACACCUAAUCGCACAGGACUCACAGUUUCAGUCCAGUUUCGAGUUUAAUUAUACAACUUGCCUUUCCAAUUUCCAUAAUUCCAUUUUUUUUUCAGAUUUUUUAUUUAUUCAUAAAUGAGAAUUGAGAGAUCAGAGAGUGAAGGUGAAAGAGGAGUAUAUGUGAUGAAGGGAAGAAGAGGACCACGUUUAUUUUUUUCGUCUUUCUCUCUAAAUUUCUAUUGGCCUUUUGUAGAAAUUCUU
rnacentral:lncRNA from 1 species